AGUGAACGCUGGCGGUAGGCCUAACACAUGCAAGUCGAACGGCAGCACAGUAAGAGCUUGCUCUUACGGGUGGCGAGUGGCGGACGGGUGAGGAAUACAUCGGAAUCUACUUUUUCGUGGGGGAUAACGUAGGGAAACUUACGCUAAUACCGCAUACGACCUACGGGUGAAAGCCGGGGAUCUUCGGACCUUGCGCGAUUGAAUGAGCCGAUGUCGGAUUAGCUAGUUGGCGGGGUAAAGGCCCACCCAGGCGACGAUCCGUAGCUGGUCUGAGAGGAUGAUCAGCGACACUGGAAGUGAGACGCGGUCCGGACUCCUACGGGAGGCAGCAGUCGGGAAUAUUGGACAAUGGGCGCGAGCCUGAUCCAGCCAUACCGCGUGGGGGAAGAAGGCCUUCGGGUUGGAAAGCCCUUUUGUUGGGAAAGAAAAGCAGCAGGUUAAUACGCCGCUGUUCUGACGGUACCCAAAGAAUAAGCACCGGCUAACUUCGUG
rnacentral:rRNA from 1 species